GGCAAGAUCGGAUAAUCUGGUAUUCCGCAAGACUGGAAAUCUUGUCCCAAUUGGGAUUCUGGGUUCAAAUCCCAGUCUUGCCG
rnacentral:tRNA from 1 species